UACGUAGGGGGCAAGCGUUGUCCGGAAUCAUUGGGCGUAAAGCGCGUGUAGGCGGCCAGGUAAGUCCGUUCUGAAAGCCCGGGGCUCAACCCCGGGAGGCGGAUGGAUACUGCUUGGCUCGAGUCCGGAAGAGGCGAGUGGAAUUCCCGGUGUAGCGGUGAAAUGCGCAGAUAUCGGGAGGAACACCAAUGGCGAAGGCAGCUCGCUGGGACGGUACUGACGCCGAGACGCGAAAGCGUGGGGAGCAAACAGG
rnacentral:rRNA from 1 species